rnacentral:rRNA from 1 species
UACGUAGGGUGCAAGCGUUAAUCGGAAUUACUGGGCGUGAAGCGUGCGCAGGCGGUUAUGUAAGUCAGGUGUGAAAUCCCCGGGCUCAACCUGGGAACUGCAUCUGUGACUGCAUAGCUAGAGUACGGUAGAGGGGGAUGGAAUUCCGCGUGUAGCAGUGAAAUGCGUAGAUAUGCGGAGGAACACCGAUGGCGAAGGCAAUCCCCUGGACCUGUACUGACGCUCAUGCACGAAAGCGUGGGGAGCAAACAGG